GUUUUUUAAGUGUCCUUUUGUUCCCAUAGCGCAGAGGUUGUACUUUGCAUCCACUGGGGGGUCCUGGUGGCAGCAAGCUACAGAUGCAGGAAGGACUCAGGGACAGUGGAGUACCAGGGAGGGAGGAGAACCGAGUUCACAAGCUGUAGAUGCUGGCCGGGCUGCUCACAUUCCGGAGGACUGACUCACAUAGUCCCUUCGCUGGAUGCUGAGCUCAGGAAGUCAUUUCUAGCUCACCUUCCCCAGAGUCCACUGUCCUGAGAGGCAGGUGACUUUUAUGGUCCUGUGCUCCGCUGACCUUUUAGGGGGCAAGUUUUCUUCAACAGGUGGGAAGAAGGCAGGGGGUCUCUCUAUAGGAAGGAGGGGGAGACACAAUCUCACUAAGCACAUAACAGCUGCUAAGGCCGCUGGGAGCUAGCCAUCCUGGCACUGCAGAGGCUAGCCAUCCUGGCACUGCAGAGGCUAGCCAUCCUGGCACUGCAGAGGCUAGCCAUCUUACUACUGCGGAAGCAGUAAUGAGGACUAACCAGCAAAUGCAAGCAAGGCUAUUUAUCUUUUGCUGGCUGGGGUCAGCCAUCAUCGCCUGUGUUCAGUAGUGACUCAGAGGCAGGAGAAAGCUUUUCCAUGAAGAUUCAGACAUCCCCUGACCAGGGACCACUGGAGGCCAGCUACAAGGAGCACCCAUGGGAUUGGGUAUGCACUGGCUCUCCAAACUGGAAUUAAUUGACAAAAGUUAGGAAAGGCUGCUCAUUGUAGAUAAGAGAUUGCUGAGGGUUGUGAGUCCGGAUCUGUUUUGAAGUGAGAAGCAUAGGGAAGAGACUCACCUCAAAUCACCACUCAUAAGGGGCCCAGUAGGAGCUGCACCCAUGCAACCGCCUCCAGCAAACAGUACCUCUAACAACUGGUGCACUUAUGCCAGUGGCCCAGUGAGUUCCCAGCGCUGAGGCCACUGCCCCCAGCAUUGCUGUGUCCUCUCUGACGAUGCUCCGGAUGUCCCCCUAUACCCACAGGGUUUUUCUAUGGAGCCCAUGCCAACCACAAACUUGACAUUCGCCUGCCUCAGCCUUCUACGUGCUCAGCUUAUAGUUGAGAUCUGACCCACGGCCGGAUUCCAAUCCUGAACCUUGUGCUUAUGUCACCAACGAGAUGGGACAUGCUGCCACAACAGGAGCUGAGAGCUUGGGGAGGGUGCUGUCCAAAUUCUGUUGUAUCACAGCAGGGAGGGAAGGGCCUGAGGCACGAGACCGAGAGGGAGUCAGGAGAUUGCCUUUCUAUUCUUAGUUCUGCAAUGAGCUUGCUGUGUGCCCUUGGGCAGAUCAGUUCCUCUCUCUAACCCUCAGUUUCCUCAUUUGCUACAACCAAAUGCAGAAUCUUCAAGGCUUUCCCUUUCAGUUCUAACGAGCCCACAGUUCUAGCUGGGAUGCGGGAUGUGUGUGAAGAAAUCUGAGUCUUGGUUUCAUUUCGUAACUUGGGCCCCUCAGCACUUCCCAGCUGGGGCUGGGAACAGGACCAACAUUCAUUGACAAAUGAAGAGUGUGUGCAGAGCCUCGAUACCCAGAUAAUAACAAAGAACCUUAAACAUGAAAAAAACACAUGAAAGAGAUGAAAACAUUUUCCAAGCUGACAAGCCAUCAACUGGGUGCCACCCGGGAAGAGAAGCCUUGGUCCAGAGCUCUGUAUUCUGCCCUCACAGGCAGGAGAACAUGGAACUGCCAUCCAUACCCAAUGGGCCAUCCUGGGUUUGGGAGGUCUCUUUUACCCUGAGAUCCAGCAGGUUCAAGCGAAGUUAUGAGAGCAGACUCAAGGAUCAUGUCUACCAACCAGUUUGUCUUAGUGUUCAUGGACCAGAGACUGCUUUGCCUGUUGGGGUUGGCUGAAGCCUGUUAUACAGUUACAUAAGCUAAUUUAUCUGGGGGACAAAGCCGUCGUGUACACAGAAGGGCCUUCUUAAAUGGCAGCUAGGGCCACUCUAAUUUUCUUCCAUGGGCUGGUCUGUAUGUGACAAGACCCCACUGGAAACUGACAGUUGGCUGAGGGUGUCUGUUGGCUGUUUUGGUGCAACAUUGCAGGCCCCCUAUGACUCGGGGAGCAAGCCUCCCGGCAUCCACUAAACACCCAGUUCUUAGAGGCUCCACAGAGUGAGGGAGCAGCCUGAGGGGAGAUGUGCUUCAAAUCCCCAACUGGAUGCCAACCUUACCUCAGUUGUCAGCAGGGAGGGGGAGAUCCAGAGGGUACAUGGAGGGCAAGACAGAGAAACAAGAGCAUACACUUAUUACUUUUGCCCUGGGUGGGGGUCACUUCACUAAGCCCGUCUUUGUCUUGGGGAUGGGGUGGUGGGGGAGUUCCUUGGUUAAGAUGGGGAUAGCGUCACUGUGGCCAUUUGAG
rnacentral:lncRNA from 1 species